GCCAAAAUAGAGUGAUGAUGAGGCUAACUACUAAUCACUCCCAAUAAGUCCUUUCAGUAAAAUUCCAUAUGCAUAAAUGCAGUGUACCAGUGCCUGAAUAUUCUGUAUGUACAAACUUUCAGGACAGAUAGAAUCAAAUGAAGAAUCAAAGCCAUUGGGAGGUGCUGGAUUCAAGAGUGAAAUGUCAUGAUGUCUGUGAUUUAAAUUCAGCAACAUUUUCAAGAGAUUGGGCUAGGAGCCAACACCUGACCAAAAUAUCGACUCCUUGAAGCUCUCCAGUCCUCAUUCCAGGUCACCAGCUAUUGACUGCCGGAACCAACUAAAGCAUCUCUCUUGGGAAGUGUGAAAGUGGAAGAGAAAGAGAGAAAAACCCAGAAAGAGAGAAAAGUAAACUGACAGCAAGCUGUCAUGUGGUAAGCCACCCUAUAGAGAGACCCACCUGGUGAGGAACUGAAGCCUCCAGCCAAGAGCCAGCAAGCAACAGAGACCUGCUAACAACCACAUGGGUGAUCUUGGAGGCAGAUUCUCCAGCCCUGAUCAAGCUUUGAGAUGACUAAAGCCCCAGCAGCAGUCUGGCUAUAAUCUCGAGAGACCAGCUAAGCUGAUUCCUAAUCCUCAAGAACUGUAUGGAACAAUAAAUUUGUCAUUUUAAGCUGCUAAA